GAUGAAGAACGCAGUGAAAUGCGAUAAGUAAUGUGAAUUGCAGAAUUCAGUGAAUCAUCGAAUCUUUGAACGCACAUUGCGCCCGCCAGUAUUCUGGCGGGCAUGCCUGUUCGAGCGUCAUUUCAACCAUCAAGCCCCCGGCUUGUGUUGGGGACCUGCGGCUGCCGCAGGCCCUGAAAAGCAGUGGCGGGCUCGCUGUCACACCGAGCGUAGUAGCAUACAUCUCGCUCUGGGCGUGCUGCGGGUUCCGGCCGUUAAACCACCUUCAUAACCCAAGGUUGACCUCGUAUCAGGUAGGAAGACCCGCUGAACUUAAGCAUAUCAAUAAGCGGAGGA
rnacentral:misc_RNA from 1 species